rnacentral:rRNA from 1 species
UACGUAGGGUGCGAGCGUUAAUCGGAAUUACUGGGCGUAAAGCGUGCGCAGGCGGUUUUGUAAGCCAGAUGUGAAAGCCCCGGGCUUAACCUGGGAAUGGCAUUUGGGACUGCAAGGCUUGAGUGCGGCAGAGGAGACUGGAAUUCCUGGUGUAGCAGUGAAAUGCGUAGAUAUCGUAAGGAAGACCAGUGGCGAAGGCGGGUCUCUGGACAGUUCCUGACGCUGAGGCACGAAGGCCAGGGGAGCAAACGGG